rnacentral:rRNA from 1 species
GACGAACGCUGGCGGCGUGCCGAAUACAUGCAAGUCGAACGCAGUUGGGACGGGUGAGUAACACGUGGGUAACCUCCCAUCAGAGGGGAUAACACUUGGAAACAGGUGCUAAACCGAUACUGAUGGAUGAACCCGCGGUGCAUUAGCUAGUUGGUGAGGGAACGGCUCACCAAGGCCACGAUGCAUAGACGACCUGAGAGGGUGAACGGCCACGCUGGGACUGUGACACGGCCCAGACUACUACGGGAGGCAGCAGGAGGAAAUCGUAGGAAAUGGACGAGAGUCUGACCGAGCAAUGCCGCGUGAGUGAAGAAGGUUGUCGAAUCGUAAAGCUCUGUUGUUAGAGAAGCGGUAUCCAACCAGAAAGCCACGGCUAACUCCGUGCCAGCAGCCGCGGUAAUAC